rnacentral:lncRNA from 1 species
CAUGAUAGCACUCAUAAUACCCCAAUCGCAUUCUAAAACCUCAUCUUCAAUUCGCAGCCUAAAAUUCGACGCUACCUCACGCAUCACCGCUAAAUGGGCGUUCUGAGACUCCCAUCACUGACUUCUCUCUUCACCUCCUCUUCUUCCGCCGCCGCGAUACCCCGUCGCCACCUCCCCCUCCCCCUCCCUUUGCGCCGCCACUUUACGGCCAAUU